UACGUAGGGGGCAAGCGUUGUCCGGAUUUAUUGGGCGUAAAGAGCGUGUAGGCGGCUAUACAGGUCCGCUGUGAAAACUCGAGGCUCAACCUCGAGACGUCGGUGGAAACCGUAUGGCUAGAGUCCAGAAGAGGAGAGUGGAAUUCCCGGUGUAGCGGUGAAAUGCGCAGAUAUCGGGAAGAACACCUAUGGCGAAGGCAGCUCUCUGGGACGGUACUGACGCUGAGACGCGAAAGCGUGGGGAGCGAACAGG
rnacentral:rRNA from 1 species